UGCCCAGCAACUCCUAUACCUACCUCCACGCGGUACCGGCCGGAAACUAUGAGCAACCUUAGGGAAGA
rnacentral:ribozyme from 1 species